AAAACAGUGUGUUUCCUUCACACUUGUCUAGCAUGCUCCGAAUCCAAGGAGGAAGAGUCAGAAGAGGAAGAUCGUGACCUGGAUCAGUUCAGGGAACAGAGGCUGCCAAGUGUGAGGCAACAGCAUUCCCCACUAGGCAGGAAGGUAUGUUGAUGGAGGUGGAGAACUGUUUUCACCCUUGAUGACUGGCUCAUCAAAGUUAAAAGGCUGUCUCCCACCCAAGGAGUUUCUUCCUCCAGGGUCCUCUCCUCUUAGUAGCCACAAAUGAACUCAGAAAGAACAGCAGCCAGCUUCCCUCUGAAGACACAGGAUAAAGCGGGGCCCCGUCUGCAGUAUGUUCUCCCUCUUCAGGGGAUCUACACUGCUUCCCUCAGGCCAGGUGCCAUGCCUGCUGUUGCUGUUGAGAAGCAGCAUCCUUCAUGAGGGCCUGGAGCUAGACAAGUGCAAUGGAGUGCACAGUGCAAAGUACCGUUUUCCCUGAGGAUCUCAUCUCAGCUGCCUCUCACAGAAGUGGUGACAGUGUGCAGCAUGAAGCAACAACAAGCCCAGCGGUGCACUGGCAAGCACUUGGAGCAAGAUUAGCCUACCCAGGAAGAGAUGGAGAUGGUGUUCAGCUGACACAGCACCUGGCUUUAAGUCCUGUCUAGGUAGCGUAGGGGAGGAGCCAGAAUGCUCACAAACGGCACCACAAACGGGAAUGCAACAAGGGGUGGAAAAACAGAGCAUCCUCAACUAGCAAACAAACGUGGAGCGCCCCACAUAACACGAAGCAUGUGACCAGGAUAUACAGGGGUCAGAAUCAUGUUCAGUCUCAAUCCAAGGAAAUUCAACACUUUGUGGAGUUUGCACAUUAUGGAAAACCCCAACCAACAAGCACAGCUGAUAUCCACAAGAGAGCCCCAGCCUUCUCCCCACUGCCACCUGCUAUUCCUGUAUCAGACCAGCAGAAGUAAAUCAAGAAGGUGAUUAUAUUAAAGCCUCUUACCCCAUUUCUACUAACUAUUUCAGUUUCCAUGGAGACAGGAGCAGGAAUGGAUAAACUUUGUCAAUGGCUGCUCAUACUGAGCACUGCAAAUGUUGGUUUCAACCAGCUCGUACACAGAAGGUUGGGAGUGAACAGUUUCAAUGGGGUUUUAUUUAGAGUGAUUUGGAUAAAAACAGUAGGGAAUCCAUUAAACCACACCUAACUUUUAUAGGUGUCUGAUCCAAGGGAGUGUGAAUUGACUAACUAGUCCCAACUGGCACAGUUUUGCCUGCAUAUUGGAACUUUAGGCAAUCAGAUGCCUGCUUUCACAAUGUGCAUUUUAUAUUUAGAUAAUUUGAAAAUACUCAUACCUGAAUGUUGGGUUCUACCCAGGGACCUGACACACCAAAUUAUAAAAUUUGGCCCAUAAUUUAAGUGUUCUUAAACCUAUGACCAAUAUAAAUGUUUCCAUAAUGUAAAAAAAAUGAAAAUAGUUAUGUUCAAACAAACACUGAAACAGUACCAAGAACCUGAAAGUGAAACUUUCUAUAAACACAAAUGAAACUGGCUUGAGUUUCAUAUUCCAAGCUGAGAAAAAUGCAAAAAGCAAACAAAGAUCAUACUGUGAAAUAUGCUGGAUUUUUAACAGUCAUUCUUUUAAUUCUCUCAUGUAAGGUGUAAUAUGUACCAUAGGCAUGACAGCUGUUUACAUAUAACAUAUGAUCUGUAAAUUGACAGUGUCUCUUUAACUUUAUAUGGUGUAACUGCCAAGUUUUGUGCAACUCUAUGUUCACAGAUGAGAGUCACAUGUGCAGCCAUCUGUGGUGACCAAUAGGCGCUGUUAUCAGUCUGAUGGUCUGUUUAUCCAGGCUUAUGUGCUGUGACAGAAUGAACCUUGUAUUCACACCCUACACUCUACUGUAAUAAUCUUUUGUGCAAAAUAUGCCUUGUAAGGUAUCAUUUAAAAGCUAAAAGAAAAGGAGUACUUGUGGCACCU